GAAAAGUCCGCCACUGAGCGGGGAGGGCACAGUCCUUACUAGAGGCCGCCCUAGUGUCACGCACAUGUAUGCCUUCAUCCUUGUAAACGCCCGCCACUAGGUAGAUCCCAAACCCAGGCCAAAAAGGCGAAGACCGUUCUGGACCACUGCACCAACCGACAGGCUGGACCUAAACCCAUCUAUUAUGAUUACCAUAUCUGGACCUGGAGAUGAGGAAGCUUCCCAAGAAGAGGCUAUCAAUAUCCCAUUACUGACCAUUUGCAUACUCUGCCAACUGCCUAGGGCGACAGAGAAGGGGAUCUCAUAUCAUCUAGAUGAAUGCUGCCAAGUCACAAAGUGCUAAGAGCUUAUGUACUACCCAGAUUAUUGUCAAUAGUGGCAACUGAAAGCUUUAGGGUCCUUGGUGACCACACAGUGCAAAACUGCUCUGUACUAAAUAAUAUAAAAGUCCACAAUAGCUAUUCUCAUCACUUUGAGGAAGGCAGGCUCUUAAUUCAAUAUACUCCUUUUGAACAUCCCUCAAGCUACACAUCUUGCCCAUUUUCUGAACAUAAUACAUGACAAUGAAUAAUCUACAAAGAAAAUAGGUGGUUGCGGCUCACAGUUCUGGAGGUUGAACCGCCAAGCUCCUGCAGCACAAUAUAUGCCCAGGUAAGGGCUUCGCCAAUGGGAAGCCCAAGUAAGCAGUGUGGGUGAGUAAGCACAGGUGCAAGGAUGACCUGCUUCCAAUAACCACCCACUUUCUCAAAGGAACUCCAUUAAGCCCUGGGAAUUCGAAGGGACAAACCAUGUUCAAACCACUUCAGCAACCUACCCACUCUUCAGAUAAAGCUAUCUGUGUUCCCCCUUCCCCUAAUAGUAAGAAGUGAGAAGUAAAUUCUGGGUCCUUCAGGUCCUCUGGUCAGACGUCUCUCUUCCUUUAUAAAGAAAAGAUGAACCCAGGCCCCUACUAGAGGCUCAGCUCCUAGGUUGGCCUUGUGUCCAUUGUCUUGCGCUCCCUUCUGAUCCCAAUGUUAAGCAAGGGUUAAGUGCUUUCAAUUUCCUAAAUUAUAACCAGAUUUCCAAGCCUGUAAUCCACCCCUUAGAAACUGCAUUUCAAUACUAGCUAUUCCAAUUCCUAGUUGGCAAUACCAAAUUUGACCACCCUGCUUCCCCAAACAGAGCAACAUUUGCUUGGGUCUUUGCCAGCCUGGCUACACUUGUGUUCUCUCUUACCUUUUUCAAGUCAGGCCUUCAUUAUCACCUCAAAGAGCCUCCACAGAACUAUCCCAACCUUUCUUACAUUGGUCAGAAGCAAAAUCUUUAUUUGCAGCAGAGCAGGUAUGGGAUGGCACUGCCAGCCUACCUGCUGCUGAGGGAAGAGACUGUCCCCACCCACCCCAGCCCUGCCUGUUUCACACAGCUCCCCGACCCCAGCUUCCAUCAGGAAAAGGAGGACAACAAUCUGCCCCAAAUGGCAGAAAGCAAGGACCCAAAAGGCAAGACGUAGGAUUUUCUUCCCAGUCCUCUUCAUCAAUCAACUCUGGAAAGAUGUCCAAUUAGCACCCUUGUCAACCAGCCUACUUAUCCUACAGCCUAUCUCUAGUUACCUGAAGGGCCAACAAUUUUGUUGGCUGCCUUGCUGGACUAUGAUACCAGUUCCCUGUUCUGCAUAUUCCACUUUCCAUGAGAGCCUGAAGAAGGGAGGCCAAGCAGCAGCCAGCUACAGCUUCCAGAAAGGGUUCCAUAUAAAGCUGGGCUGAGCCCUGGUUCCUGAGGAAGUCUUUGUUCUUUAGGGAUCACAGAGCAGCAUCUAGUGGCCCUUCUGGGCAGCACAGAUUACAUAAUUCAAUGCACAGCAGGGCACCAGAGCAGUGCAGACACCUUAGCCUCUGCUCCUAACACCAGUAGUGACUCCUUAACAACCAAGAAAGUCCUGGCACUGUGAAGACUGGUGCCUAAAAGGGACCCUUGGUGAGAUAGCCCAGCCCAGACCAGCCUAUGGAGCAGAUGACCUUCUCAGUUAUACCUAAACUAGCUCACAUGAGGGCUGGGAGGGAAAGUAGUGGCACAACUGCUGGUCCUUGUUGGUCUAGAACAGCGCUGUCCAACUGAAGUAUAACAUGCGUCACAAUGACAAGCCACAUAGAUAAUUUGAUACUUUCCAGUAGCCACGUUAAAAAAGUAAAAAGAAACAGGUGAUUUGUAAUAAUAUUUUAUUUAACCCAAUAUACCCAAAAUAUUCCAACAUACACUUUAAAAAACUUGAGAUAUUUUACAUUUUUUCACUCUUAUCCUUCAAAAUCUGUUUUUUUUACAUUUGCAGCACAUUAACAGUUCAAAACUAGCCACACUAUAAGUACUCAACAGCUGCAUGUGGCUAGCAGCUACUCAUUGGACAGCGCGGGUCUAGAGGAAGUCACCAGGCUGAGCAGGGAAGCAGAGAAAAGGGCUGCUGCCCUGAGCCUCUUGGGGAGGGGAUCCCCUAAGUUUGGGAAACCCUUUCCUCUCUGUUCCAGUACUAGGAACUCUAUGGAAUAUUUAUUUUAAAGUCCUUUAUAGAAACAAACCUCUAUGCAAGUAAAAUUAUGCACAGAAACACAAUAUUAAAACUGAGAAUACCAAAAUACUCAAACUGGAGAAGAGUCGGCAAAUCCCUUAGAAUCGUUCCCAGGGUCUGAGAACAUCAUGAAAACCACUGCUUCUGAAGAUUCUAAAAGGAAACUAAACCACAGCUGAAUGUGAGAACCCUCUACACACUUGCAUUUCCAUUACUUCAUAUGACUUUUGUAUCACAAUCACCUACCAUAGAAGCAUCAACCUUGGAGGAUCUUACUGACAGAAUCCAAGUGUUCUUGCUGGAACAUGCUGCCUUAGAAAGACAUACCUGAACUCCAUUUCUGCUUUCAGUCAUCACAGAUCAAGUCUCCUGCCCAAAGCCCUCCAAAGUGGACUACAGAUUCGGCUAAAGGAUACUAACAUUAAUAUAAGCAAAUGAGAUAAUGGAGCUUUGGCCAAUCUAGAGGGCUAGACUAUUGCUGAGCUACACAGAGCUGUUUGAACUUGCUCAGAAAACCUCCAGUACUCAAGAAAUGACACCUUUUGAAAAAAAAAUUAUUUUAUUGGAACUCAUCUGAACAUCAGAUAUACCUGGUGUUGGUUAGCAAGAACCGUUUGUACAUUGGAUAUUGAUGGUGCCAAAACCAAAACAGUGACUGGACAUGAUGGGGAGAAAAGAUGUUAAGAACAAAAACCUGAUUUCGGAGAGGAAAAUAAAAGCCAGUCAGAUUCAGUGAAGAUGCAAAACCUGGUACAACAAAAUCCUUUUACAAAAUAUAAAUUUAUUACGAAAACCUGGAAGGAUAAUCUGAGAAAGGUAAAGAAAGAGAAAAGGAGGCCAGCAGGAAGGAGACAGGAAGAGGGGGAGAAGAAAAAAGAGAAAAUGAGAGAAGAAAAUAUUGUUGAGCACAGCGACAAGGUGCUGAAGCUUACCUGCCCAAAUGGCAUUAAAGCCUUGCUAUGUAAUCAUAUCAGAAAACAAAGCAUGCUGAAAUACAGUGCUCUACCGCCCAUCCAUUCGAGUUCUAAGAGGUAAAUAAAGACGCUCCCUAGAAAGGAGACAUGAGGUUGCUUGAAAACCCAACAGAGAAAAUUAAAAAACAAAAUGAAACAAAAAACA